GAUGAACGCUGGCGGCGUGCCUAAUACAUGCAAGUCGAGCGAACGGACGAGAAGCUUGCUUCCCUGAUGUUAGCGGCGGACGGGUGAGUAACACGUGGAUAACCAACCUAUAAGACGGGGAUAACUACGGGAAACCGGAGCUAAUAACGGAUAAUAUUUUGAACCGCAUGGUUCAAAAGUGAAAGACGGCCUUGCUGUCAAUUAGAGACGGACCCGAGUUGGAUUAGCUAGUUGGUAAGGGAACGGCCUACCAAGGCAACGAUGCAUAGCCGACCUGAGAGCGUGAACGGCCACACUGGAUCUGAGACACGGUCCUGACUCCUACGGGAGGCAGCAGUCGGGAAUCUUCCACAAUGGGCGAGAGCCUGACGUAGCAAUGCCGCGUGAGUGAAGAAGGACUUCGGGUCGUAGAACUCUGUUAUUGGGGAAGAACAUAUGCAGAAGUAACUGUGCGCAUCUUGACGGUACCCAAUCAAAAAGCCCCGGCUAACUACGUG
rnacentral:rRNA from 1 species